GAUGAACGCUGGCGGCGUGCCUAAUACAUGCAGGUCGAGCGAACAGACGAGGAGCUUGCUCCUCUGACGUUAGCCGCGGACGGGUGAGUAACACGUGGAUAACCUACCUAUCAGACUGGGAUAACUUCGGGAAACCGGCGCUAAUACCGGAUAACAUGUUGCACCGCAUGGUUCAACAGUGAAAGACGGUCUUGCUGUCUCUUAUAGAUGCUUCCGCGCUGCAUUAGCUAGUUGGUAAGGUAACGGCUUACCAAGGCAACGAUGCGUAGCCGAACUGAGAGGGUGAUCGGCCACACGAGAACUGAGACACGGUCCAGACUCCUACGGGAGGCAGCAGUCGGGAAUCUUACGCAAUGGGCGAAAACCUGACGGAGCAACGCCGCGUGAGUGAAGAAGGUCUUCGGAUCGUAAAACUCUGUUAUUAGGGAAGAACAGAUGUGUAAGUAACUAUGCACGUCUUGACGGUACCUGAUCAGAAAGCCACGGCUAACUACGUG
rnacentral:rRNA from 1 species